GACGAACGCUGGCGGCGUGCUUAACACAUGCAAGUCGAACGGAAAGGCCCUGCUUUUGUGGGGUGCUCGAGUGGCGAAGUGGUGAGUAACACGUGAGUACCCUGUCCCUGACUUUGGGAUAACUUCAGGCAACUGGGUCUAUUACCGGAUAGGAGCUCUUGCUGCAUGGUGGGGGUUGGAAAGUUUCGGCGGUUGGGGAUGGACUCGCGGCUUAUCAGCUUGUUGGUGGGGUAGUGGCUUACCAAGGCCUUGACGGGUAGCAGGCCUGAGAGGGUGACCGGCCAAAUUGGGACUGAGAUACGGCCCAGACUCCAACGGGAGGCAGCAGUGGAGAAUAUUGCACAAUGGGCGGAAGCCUGAUGCAGCAACGCCGCGUGCGGGAUGACGGCCUUCGGGUUGUAAACCGCUUUCGCCUGUGACGAAGCGUGAGUGACGGUAAUGGGUAAAGAAGCACCGGCUAACUACGUG
rnacentral:rRNA from 1 species